GAAGUGCUCAUAAGAACACUAAGCUGAGAAGCAGGCUUUGUCCCAGUUGGGACGUAACGCCAGAAAGAAGAAGAAGAAGUAUCACAACAGCUAUGGAAGGGGAGAAAGACGCCGCCAGAGGAUGGAUGAUUAACGAGAGCCGGCGAAAGUGAAAAUGGAAAUCAAUCUUCUUCGGACGCUUGGUUUUCGGGGGGAUCAACCCGGACACGGGCCGAGGCCGGAAGACACCGAGGCCUAACUGAGAACAUAACGGUGUCGACCUUAUAGAGCAAAACUCUCCAUAUCGUGAAUCGUCGUGGCAUAGAAUGGAAAAAGUGCGUCUGCCGUUACCCUCCUCCUACACGGCCCAUGAGAAUUCCAGAGAAACAGCUGUUAUAGUUAACCAGUAAACGAGAGUCGUAGGAAUCCCCCGUCCUGCUCGCGUAAUAUCCAACCAUUAAUAAUUCAUGGGCGUUCUCCCUUGAUUUGUGCUUGGCGGCGUACAAUUCGUGCCCCGUUAGGCUUCUUCGUUGGGGGCACGACCUGCACACGUUAAUGGACACGCAACCGUCCAUCACCGUCCCGGCACGAACACAUGGCAACACGGAUUUCACAUUACGGAGCUUUCACCCCGGAUGGGGAAUCUAGGAAGGAGGAGGACGACAAGUGCAUGCCCUCCGUGUCGGAUGAGCAAAGAAAAAUUACAACAGGGGCAGUUAUCGAGUUUCGAGCACGCGCCCUCACGUGCGCCCGGCCCGGUUCCCCGAACCGUGCGGGUUGAUUGAUUUUUCAAGAGUUCUCACCUCUUCUGGGCGGAAAAUCCAAUAUCGCGAACCAACAAAGCAACAAGCAUCCUCAAAACUCCCCCUCUUUCCGAUGGAGAGAAAGAAGCAAGUUAAUAAAUUGCGUUUUUUGAGGUUAUGCGAGGGAUACGGGGAAGUAGAUAAAUAAUUUGGUGUGCUCGGGUCACGAUUUCCGCGGAGGAAGAUGAUAAAGCUUUAAAUUACGAACACGCAGCUUCCCGGCAGACGUAUACUUACAUAGAAAUGAGGUGCGUGUUUCACCCGACUAAACAGAAGCGAACACGUGCCAGACUGAAGCAAAUUUGUCACCGCCAACAACCGUCGCCAAAAAAUGUUGCUUUUCCCGUAAAAAAAAACGUUUUUAACAAUCAAAUAAAUUUCGUAUCACAUAUAGGUUAGGAGAUUUGUUGCUAAUUAUCCACGGCAACUGGAAAAGAAUCCGGCUCCGUAACGCUGAUGGUGCAUGAGCCUCAACCACAACAACUCAGUUUUGACAGUUCUGGCGUCACCGCCAGGCUUACUUUGUCGUUUCAGGUUAUGGGCCCAUACUUCGUUCAUUAUGACAGGUAACAAUUCAGCUUUCCGUUUUCCCCGAACGGAAUUAGUUACGAGAAGAAAACUAAUGGCUAAAUAGAGAAAUGGUGCUGUGGUUGCAAACCAAUCGAUGGCAAGCAAGCAACCACAGAAGCCAGCAAAGAAAUCGAAAUGUUGUGAAUUUUUAAAAACUAUUGCUCGAUAGGGAGUAAAAACACAGUUGCACGUAAGCGCGCAAUGCAUUUUUCAUCGGCCGUAAAGAAUCGGACGCAGACGGGUAAGAUUCUCCGGGAUGGAAGUUCAAGGAACGGUUCGUGGCCAAGAGCCUGAAUUAUGCAGGGUUGAUAAACGGCUCGAAUGGACGGUACAUACAUUUUGAAAAAUGCAAUUCUGAGGCUUGAUUCUGCUCGAGAUAAUGAUAUCGUUUAAUCAUUUAGG
rnacentral:lncRNA from 1 species